GUGAAUUAAACAUGCUUGGUGUCUUCGCUUCGGCAAGGCCCUUGCUUAAAUCACAUCCUAACACCUGUGAACUGUAAGACGUAUGAUGAGGUCUUUGGCCAAGUCAUCGUCUGCCCAUUUUUAACAAACAAUUAAUGCAACAAACGUAGUCUUAUUAUAACCUAAUA
rnacentral:misc_RNA from 1 species